rnacentral:rRNA from 1 species
UACGUAGGGGGCAAGCGUUGUCCGGAAUCAUUGGGCGUAAAGAGCGUGUAGGCGGCCCGGUAAGUCCGUUGUGAAAGUCGAGGGCUCAACCCUCGAAUGCCGGCGGAUACUGCCGGGCUAGAAUCCGGAAGAGGCGAGUGGAAUUCCUGGUGUAGCGGUGAAAUGCGCAGAUAUCAGGAGGAACACCAAUGGCGAAGGCAGCUCGCUGGGACGGUAUUGACGCUGAGACGUGAAAGCGUGGGGAGCAAACGGG